GAUGAACGCUGGCGGCGUGCCUAAUACAUGCAAGUCGAGCGAACAGACGAGGAGCUUGCUCCUCUGACGUUAGCGGCGGACGGGUGAGUAACACGUGGAUAACCUACCUAUAAGACUGGGAUAACUUCGGGAAACCAGAGCUAAUACCGGAUAAUAUAUUGAACCGCAUGGUUCAAUAGUGAAAGACGGUUUUGCUGUCACUUAUAGAUGGAUCCGCGCCGCAUUAGCUAGUUGGUAAGGUAACGCCUUACCAAGGCAACGAUGCGUAGCCGACCUGAGAGGGUGAUCGGCCAAACUGGAACUGAGACACGGUCCAGACUCCUACGGGAGGCAGCAGUAGGGAAUCUUCCGAAAUGGGCGAAAGCCUGACGGAGCAACGCCGCGUGAGUGAUGAAGGUCUUCGGAUCGUAAAACUCUGUGAUUAGGGAAGAAGAAAUGUGUAAGUAACUAUGCACGUCUUGACGGUACCUAAUCAGAAAGCCACGGCUAACUACGUG
rnacentral:rRNA from 1 species